CAGCAGCCGCGGGAAUACGAAGGGUGCAAGCGUUACUCGGAAUUACUGGGCGUAAAGCGUGCGUAGGUGGUGGUUUAAGUCCGUUGUGAAAGCCCUGGGCUCAACCUGGGAAUUGCAGUGGAUACUGGGUCACUAGAGUGUGGCAGAGGAUAGUGGAAUUUCCGGUGUAGCAGUGAAAUGCGUAGAGAUCGGAAGGAACAUCUGUGGCGAAGGCGACUAUCUGGGCCAACACUGACACUGAGGCACGAAAGCGUGGGGAGCAAACAGGAUUAGAUACCCCCGUAGUCCCUGUCUCUUAUAA
rnacentral:rRNA from 1 species